UACGUAGGGUGCAAGCGUUGUCCGGAAUUAUUGGGCGUAAAGCGCACGUAGGCGGAUUGUUAAGUCGGGGGUGAAAUCCUGGAGCUCAACUCCAGAACUGCCUUCGAUACUGGCGAUCUCGAGUUCGGGAGAGGUGAGUGGAACUGCGAGUGUAGAGGUGAAAUUCGUAGAUAUUCGCAAGAACACCAGUGGCGAAGGCGGCUCACUGGCCCGAUACUGACGCUGAGGUGCGAAAGCGUGGGGAGCAAACAGGG
rnacentral:rRNA from 1 species